UCAGAGGUAGCUCAGUUGGUAGAGCAUCUGUACUGCAAACCGGUGGUCCCAGGUUCAAUUCCUGGCCUCUGAC